UGGGUUAUGGCUCAGCGGUAGAGUGCUUACCUAGCAUGUGUGAAGUCCUGGGUUCAAUCCUCUGUACUCCAU
rnacentral:tRNA from 1 species